GACGAACGCUGGCGGCGUGCUUAACACAUGCAAGUCGAGCGAUGAAGUUCCUUCGGGAAUGGAUUAGCGGCGGACGGGUGAGUAACACGUGGGUAACCUGCCUCAUAGAGGGGAAUAGCCUUCCGAAAGGAAGAUUAAUACCGCAUAAGAUUGUAGUAUCGCAUGAUACAGCAAUUAAAGGAGCAAUCCGCUAUGAGAUGGACCCGCGUCGCAUUAGCUAGUUGGUGAGGUAACGGCUCACCAAGGCGACGAUGCGUAGCCGACCUGAGAGGGUGAUCGGCCACAUUGGGACUGAGACGCGGCCCAGACUCCUACGGGAGGCAGCAGUGGGGAAUAUUGCACAAUGGGGAAACCCUGAUGCAGCAACGCCGCGUGAGUGAUGACGGUCUUCGGAUUGUAAAGCUCUGUCUUCAGGGACGAUAAUGACGGUACCUGAGGAGGAAGCCACGGCUAACUACGUGCCAGCCGCCGCGGUAA
rnacentral:rRNA from 1 species